AUGGACAUCGACGGGGAGCCUUUGUUCAAGGACGAGCUCACCAACCAAGCCAUCGCAAACAAGAAGCGCAAAAGCAAGUGGACGAAGGCAUACACGCAACCAGAAGACAAACUCAUUUGCGAGUGUUGGAGGGACAUUGGACAAGACCCCAAGGUUGGCGCCGAGCAAAAGACAUGUACCUUUUGGCUUCAUGUUCAUCGUGAGUACCAUGAACGCAAGAAGUUCGUGCCCUACCAAAUGGAGAGCAAGCGGGGGUGGGUAUCCCUCUCGAAGCGAUGGAGGGUGAUAUAA
rnacentral:rRNA from 1 species